rnacentral:rRNA from 1 species
UACGGAGGGUGCAAGCGUUAUCCGGAUUCACUGGGCUUAAAGGGUGCGUAGGAGGGCAGGUAAGUCAGUGGUGAAAUCUCCGAGCUUAACUUGGAAACUGCCAUUGAUACUAUCUGUCUUGAAUAUUGUGGAGGUGAGCGGAAUAUGUCAUGUAGCGGUGAAAUGCUUAGAUAUGACAUAGAACACCAAUUGCGAAGGCAGCUCGCUACACAUAUAUUGACUCUGAGGCACGAAAGCGUGGGGAUCAAACAGG